AUUGAACGCUGGCGGCAUGCCUUACACAUGCAAGUCGAACGGCAGCACGGACUUCGGUCUGGUGGCGAGUGGCGAACGGGUGAGUAAUACAUCGGAACGUGCCCAGUAAUGGGGGAUAACGCAGCGAAAGCUGUGCUAAUACCGCAUACGCCCUGAGGGGGAAAGUGGGGGAUCGCAAGACCUCAUGUUAUUGGAGCGGCCGAUGGCUGAUUAGCUAGUUGGUGAGGUAAAGGCUCACCAAGGCGACGAUCAGUAGCUGGUCUGAGAGGACGACCAACCACACUGGGACUGAGACACGGCCCAGACUCCUACGGGAGGCAGCAGUGGGAAAUUUUGGACAAUGGGCGAAAGCCUGAUCCAGCAAUGCCGCGUGUGCGAAGAAGGCCUUCGGGUUGUAAACUGCUUUUGUACGGAACGAAAAGGCUCUGGUUAAUACCUGGGGCUCAUGACGGUACCGUAAGAAUAAGCACCGGCUAACUACGUGCCAGCCGCCGCCGUAA
rnacentral:rRNA from 1 species